UUUCCAUCAGCCGCAAAAAUAAUAAAGAUUUUAGACUGCGUUUGGCUUGAGAACUAAAUUUUGAAGAACAGCUUUAUUUUAUUCCCGAUAACAAAAAAUAUUUUGGUACAAGAUAAAAUAAUUAUAAAUUUAUGUUUGGAUGCAUUUAGGAAUAUUCUAGAGGAUAUCCUUAGUAGCGAUUGGAUAAAAAGUGUAGAACAAUGUCUAAAUAUAUUUUUAAAAAUAAAAUAACUAAUUUAUAUUAGUAUAUUUUAUAUAAAAUUACUUCAUAUAGUAAUUUAUAAUAUAAUAUUUUAUGUAACAAUCUAAUUUAAAAUAGUAUAUUUUAUUAUAUAUAAUAAUUUAUUUUAUGUAAUAAUUUAUUUUAUAUAAUUUAUGUAGUAUCCCUGGUGGCCAGCAGCUGCGGAAUUACAGCAUUUGAGACUUGUCGACACAUCUGGAGAGUGCCGAAACAGGUCCGAGUCGCGUUGGCGCAAAAUAGACGCAAGACGGGCUUGUUGCGACGCGAGAGCAGAAUUUUAGCAUCGAAAUUUGCAUAUUGUCGAUUUUCAGCAAUGC
rnacentral:lncRNA from 1 species